CUGGCUGUUUGUUUUCUUGGAGGGCCCUAAGUGUUUUAAAACACCAAGGAAGAAAUUGACCUAUCUCAAGACAUCUCUGUGAUGAGGAGGAGCCAGGAGAGGGAACACACCUAAUUAUAGGUGUUCCUACUUGGAAUUACAAAGGUGCAAUUGAAAGGAGAAAGGAAGUUUCCUGAACAAAAGAAUGGCUCUCCCAAGAAGACAAGAAAAGGAGGGUAGGAAUACAAAAUGGUAAAGUCUUCAUUGAAGAUGCCACGGGAAGAAAGAAUUUCUGCCUCAGCAAAGGCGUUUUUUUCUUCUUUAUAAAACACACCAAGCAUGACCUAGACUCCACCAUCUGUAGAACCAGACUGAUCUCACCCCUUAUUAAGACCUGAAAGGGAAGCAAUCCACAUGCUUUAAUUAUCAUGACUGUGAAGGUGAAGAAGAGCCUUCCUUUGAAAUGGAGUUUUGUAUUCUUCCAUUAAUUGUACCAGGAAAUUGAAGAGACGCUUGAGUUUUAGAUUUGAUUAUCUCAACAUAAAUGUAUUUUUGCUUCAUUAGCAGUAAAAUAUAUAAGGAUGAUGAUAGACCAUUCUAAGUAUUAUUUCCUUAUUCCUGGUCUUAAUCUCUAUAUUUAAUAAGGAAGGGCCAGGUUCAAUAAAGGGUGCAUCUGGCUUCAAGUGAUUAAUCGAUUUUUAUAGAAUGCACAUGCUAGCAAUUCUUCGGGAAAUUAGACAAGACACCAUGAAUCACGAUUCCCUGCACACACUCUUCAGCCCUCCCUUCCAGCUUUGCUUUUACUAAUCAGCUUCAAUUGACUAUCUCGGGGCAUUUUUACAAAGGUGCAUCCUAUGUCUCUCACAUCCUGAAUUAAUGCCGUGAAUAAUUAGCUCCAGGGACUGAGGUCUCUUUCAUCUGCAUGCAAGCCAACUAAAUGGUUUUCCUUUACUGCUUGAAAUGUGAGCCCCUUCCUUUCAUCCCCCACUCUCCUCCUGGCUGCUGUAAUUGGGAUGUCAAAUUGUAUCAUUCUGUAGGGAGCUGAACUUUCAGAGAUCGGUCCAGGACAGACUUUUCUUGAGUUGGGGGGCAAUUUUUCUUUGUAAUGUCAGUUCCAAUUCCUCUGGGCAGGAGAUGAAUUAGUCUUGUGCAUUAACGAGGGGGUGAGCUAUAGCCAGCUGCAAAUGCUGCAGUUCCCGAUGAAAUCACUGAGCAAAAUGCACAAGUAUAUGAAGCAGUGCUGGCUUGAAUGACAGGGGACAUCUCCUGAAAAGGAACGGAAGUCAAAAGGUAAAAUAAACCUCUAUGGACUCUUGUUGUCAGGGAAUGUAGUUCCUUAACACUAUGCAUGGAUCUCCUUUAUUGCUCCAUCUCCAGAGGCUGCAGCAGGAACUACCAAAUACCUGGUGUGUUUGCUGUCACUGCUGUUUAAUGCUACCUGGGUAGGCCAGGCUGCUGAUCACUCAUGGCACUUUCCAGCUGAGCCCACAUGUGCACUGGGACUGGCAGAGAGAACCCUACAGUUGAUCAGAGUUGGCACACAAGAUGGAACCUAUUUGUAAUUGCCGGUGUAGGCCAUUGUAAGUGUUUAAUAAAUAUUUGCUGAAUGUAAAAAUAAAUGAGGACAAGAUUGUUGGAAUUAGGAGACUUUGUGCCUCUCUCCUCCCUUGAAUUUAGAAUGCAUUUUGUUUUGUUUUGCACAAAUGCUUCCAGCAAAUUACAGCCAAACAAUUUAAAGUUAGACCCAUCACCUUAAUUUGACAUAAAUCAGAGCUGAAUAUCUAUUACUAGAAAUUUUAGAUUAUCCUAACAUUCAGAAUAAAUGCACCUGACUAAACUUGGGGAGAGGGGGUCUCAGAAUUUCCUUUCUUAGCAUGAAAGUUGUGCACAUUGAUUUGGUUUGAAGUCAAUGGGCCAGAACAUACAGUUCACAU
rnacentral:lncRNA from 1 species